AUAUAUAGCCAUAUCACCCUGAAUACACUCAACCUAAUUUGAUCUGGGAAACUAAAGAGAACUGAGCAUGAAUACUACUGGAUGGAAAAAUCAUAUAAGAAUAUUAAUUGCUAUAGACU
rnacentral:rRNA from 1 species